GAAACGGCCCUUUUCAGGGCCACUGAAAUUUUACGAAAGAGUUAUU
rfam:Culex pipiens quinquefasciatus supercont3.2677 genomic scaffold, whole genome shotgun sequence.